rnacentral:rRNA from 1 species
AUUGAACGCUGGCGGCAGGCCUAACACAUGCAAGUCGAGCGGAUGAAAGGAGCUUGCUCCUGGAUUCAGCGGCGGACGGGUGAGUAAUGCCUAGGAAUCUGCCUGGUAGUGGGGGACAACGUUUCGAAAGGAACGCUAAUACCGCAUACGUCCUACGGGGGAAAGCAGGGGACCUUCGGGCCUUGCGCUAUCAGAUGAGCAUAGGUCGGAUUAGCUAGUUGGUGAGGUAAUGGCUCACCAAGGCGACGAUCCGUAACUGGUCUGAGAGGAUAAUCAGUCACACUGUAACUGAGACACGGUCCAGACUCCUACGGGAGGCAGCAGUGGGGAAUAUUGGACAAUGGGCGAAAGCCUGAUCCAGCCAUGCCGCGUGUGUGAAGAAGGUCUUCGGAUUGUAAAGCACUUUAAGUUGGGAGGAAGGGUUGUAGAUUAAUACUCUGCAAUUUUGACGUUACCGACAGAAUAAGCACCGGCUAACUCUGUGCCAGCCGCCGCCGUAACAC